AAAAAGCACAUUAGAUUCCAGUGCUUCCCUUCAAAUUAAUUAAUGAGUAUAAAUAUUUUGCUUCUAUUCUAGCUUACAAAAAUGCAUGCAUACUAACUCAUUAAAAAUCACAGUUUCAAUUACAUAUAGUUCUUAAGAGAGAUGAGGGUAAAGAAUAAUAUUUCUUUGUAGCAGCUUCAUUUUUCCAUUCAUGCUGUACUGAUGAAGUUCGGGACCACAACUUUUGCACAGAUGCUGAGCUUUCCUGGGGCAACAACAAGCGAACACAAGCCCUGGCCGAGUUGGCACCAGCUCAUUCGCGAAUGCUCAGGCAGAGUAUAUGCUUCCAACAUAUGAGAGACUGACAAGCAAAAAGCUGCUGCUUCACCGUAUGCAGGAAACCCUGAAAUGCAGCAGAGUCUUUCAACAAGAUUGGGUUGCUGUGCCCCAUAACAAAAUUUACUUCACACACUGUUGUGGAGAUGGCCACAUCUAUAGCCAUACAUCAGUUCAACAAAGGCCACAAAGAUUCAGAGGAAGUCUUACAAGAGUUUGACUACGGCAUAUUAUAAAUAAAAUCUCUGGAACAGACAUCUCAAGCUAAAUCUUGUCAUUGCAAAGCAGCAAAGAAAGCCCGACAGGAGGAUGAAGCUUACAAAUGUUCUCAGGGUACCACCUAUGUAGCAGGAGGAUAAUUUUUUAAGUUCUACACUUUGGGAAAGACUGGUCUGCAUUCUGGCCAAAUUUCAUGCAAAUCGAUCAUCCGCAAUAGCAAUAAACAUGUAUAGCACUUUUAACUUUAUCUUGUCGUGCUUUCACUGUUUGUAUGCCAAAAUUGUUGCACUCAAUGUGCAGAAUGGAAGUAUCCAGCUUUUAUUGUAAUUUGCAACAAUUUCGUUAAUGUGCAUUUUGGAAAAAUAUAACCAUAAACAGGCCUGGAGUGCAGCCUGAUCUCGGUGACCAGAACCGGCAACGCACUCCCUCACCAGAGCAGGAUUGGACACCCUGGUGCAGUACUUGGCCACAACCUCCUAUAUGACUACAACAAUCAAACCCCGGCCCUCAGUCCCCAGCAGCUGCAAAGCAACUAACCACGGCAGCGGUCAGACCUGUGACCCAGCAAAGGGUGCUAAGAAUCUCUGGGUCCGGACAGGCCGCCAUUGGAAUCUGAACCUGGCAACGUUUAACGCUAGAAUGUUAUCUAGUGAGAUGAGUCUAGCAUUGCUAUUGGAGGAAUUAGUGGGCAUUAAACAGGAUACUGUAUAAUAGGGCUCAGUGAGGUCAGGAGGCCAAAAGAAGCCUAUACAGUGCUAAAAAGCGGGAACAUCCCGUGCUACCGGGGCUUAGUGGAGAGAUGAGAACUAUGAGUCUGAUUCCUGACUAAUAAGGAUAUAGCUAAUAACAUACAGGAAUUCUAUAGCAUUAACGAGAGGGUGGCAGGUCUUGUAGUGACACUUAAUAAGAGGUACAAAUUGAAGGUGACACAGGUCCACGCCCUUACAUCUAGUCAUGAUGACCAGCAAGUCGAAAGCUUCUAUGAAGAUGUGGAAUCGGCGAUGGGUAAAGUAAAAACAAAAUACACUAUACUGAUGGGUGACUUCAAUGCCAGGGUAGGCAAGAAGCGGGCUGGAGACAAGUCAGUGGGGGAAUAUGGCAUAGGUUCUAGGAAUAGCAGAGGAGAGUUAUUGAUAGAGUUUGCAGAACAGAAUAAUAUGUGGAAUGAAUACCUUCUUCCACAAGCGGGAUAGCCAAAAGUGGACAUGGAGGAGCCCGAAUGGCAAGAUUAGAAAUGAAAUAAGACUUUAUACUUUGCGCUAACCCUGGCAUCAUACAAGAUGUGGACGUGCUCGGCAAGGUGCGCUGCUGUGACCAUAGGAUGGUAAGAACUCGAAUUAGCCUAGACUUGAGGAGGGAACGGAAGAAACUGGUACAUAACAAGCCGAUCAAGGAGUUAGCGGUAAAAGGGAAAAUAGAGGAAUUCCGGAUCAAGCUACAGAACAGGUAUUCGGCUUUAACUCAGGAAGAGGACCUUAGUGUUGAAGCAAUAAAUGACAAUCAUAUGGGCAUCAUUAAGGAGUGUGCAAUAGAAGUCAGUGGCAAAUCCGUUAGACAGGAUACCAGUAAGCUAUCGCAGGAGACGAAGAAUCUGAUCAAGAAACGCCAAUGUAUGAAAGCCUCUAACCCUACAGCUAGAAUAGAACUGGCAGAACUGUCCAAGUUAAUCAACAAGCGCAGGACAGCUGACACAAGGAAGUAUAAUAUGGAUAGAAUUGAACCGGCUCUCAAGAACGGAGGAAGCCUAAAAGCAGUGAAAAAAGAAUGGGCUGGAGUGCAUUUGGCAGGCAUUCUCAGAUCAUGAACAGCAGGUUGCCAUUAUCCCUCAAGAGAAAAGUGUAUAACAGCUGUGUCUUACUAGUACUCACGUACGGGGCAGAAACCUGGAGGCUUACGAAAAGGGUUCUACCUAAAUUGAGGACGACGCAACAAGCUAUGGAAAGAAGAAUGAUGGGUCUAAUGUUAAGGGAUAAGAAAAGAGCAGAUUGGGUUAAGUUAAUGACAUCUUAGUUGAAAUCAAGAAAAAGAAAUGGGCAUGGGCAGGACAUGUAAUGAGGAGGGAAGAUAACCAAUGGUCAUUAAAUGUUACGGACUGGAUUCCAAGGGAAGGGAAGCGUAGCAGGGGGUGGCAGAAAGUUAGGUGGGCGGAUGAGAUUAAGAAGUUUGCAGGGACAACACGGCCACAAUUAGUACAUGACCGGGGUAGUUGAAGAAGUAUGGGAGAGGCCUUUGCCCUGCAGUGGGCAUAACCAGGCUGAUGAUAACACUAUCUGAGGUCUGGUACGAUGCCCGAACCUUGCAUGAGAAACCACUUUCUACACUUUCAGAGGAAAAAAAAAAAAAAAAUGCCGGUAAGAUAUUGAGAAAAUGAAAUCAUAUUUGAAAAUAGCAGAAUAAACUUUAUAUUGUACAUAACAUUGAUGCAAUUAUCUUUAUUAUGAAUGAAAAUGGAUCUCUGAGGUGCAUCUCCUCUUUAAGGGGCCCUGCAACAAGUUUUCUUCAAAAGUGAGAACAAACUUGAAUGAGGACAGCAAUGCCUUUCAGUGAAUACAAUAAAUUUUUAGAAGUACUUAACAAUUAUGGAACUACAAAGAGUGCAAUGUUCACUUUCCCCAUUCCCCUCCAAAUGUUUCCUCUUGGCCUCUUGUUCCUAUCUAACUUUUUUCUUAUUUCUGAGGUGCACCUACAGUGUACUGCAGAAAUGGAUUGCCACCAUAGCAGUCAUCUACUGCAGCCUGUCACUUUUGACAUUUUAUGUUCAAUAUCUCAUGAAGGAUAAAUGUCCACUUUUCUUCCAUAAAGAGAAACAAAAUGUUCUUGAAAGGUCUCAAAUGGAACUUACAACUGUACAGCCAUUAAGAAGGAAAUGAGAAGCUUGAAUGAUAACAUUAAAGUGGCCUUAUCCCAGAGGAAUGAUUAACUCAACUAAAAGGUUCAGAAGGGCGUACACUUUGCAUAGGUAAUAAGCCAGCGAACAAUUUAUGGUAAAGUUCUAAACAUUACUAUACAAUUUUAACUAACAGUCAGAUAUUGGUAACCAGCUUGUCACGAUAACAUAGAAAAAAAAAGGAAGCCUUUUUCUGCAUUUAAUGGCCUUAGUGCUUUCAUUUAAAUGCAAAGGUAACACAGUCAGAUGGCCAUUAAAAAGAAUGUCCAGACACAUAGGACUAGACCACAGGACCAACAGGCUGCUGCUUCAAAAAAACAAAACAAGAAAACAAAGAAAACAA